GCUAAAGUAUCUAAAAAAAAAAGCAAAGACAAACCCUUAUAUCUUCUGCAUAAUGUAUUAACUAGAAAUAACUUUACACAGAGAAUUACAGCCAAGUUCCCCAAAACCAGACAAGCUACCCAAGAACAGCUGAAAGAGCACACUUAACUAUGUGGCAAAAUAGUGAGAAGAUUCAUGAGUAGUGGUGACAAGCCUACCAAGCCUGGUGAUAGCUGGUUGUCCAAGAUGGGAUCUUAAUUCAACUUUAAAGUUACCCACAGAAUUACUUAAUCUCCCUGUAUGUUUAGACAGCUCUUUAGACUCUAGGAAACAACCUUCCUACAGAGAGUAAAAAAUAUUUCCACCAUAGUUGGCCCAAAAGCAACCACCAAUUAAGAAAGCGUUUAAGCUCAACAUCUAUCUUAAAUUCUAGUCUCUCUACUGAACUCCUAACAUCACAUUGGACUAAUCUAUUACUUAAUAGAAGCAAUAAUGUUAAUACAAGUAAUAUGAAAACAUUCUCCAUUGCAUAAGCUUACAUCAGACUGGAAUAACCCACUGACAGUUAGCCUAAUAUUAAUAAACGAUAUAAUAAGCUCUUCAUUAUUUACACUGUUAACCCAACACAGGUAUGCUCUAAGGAAAGAAUACAAAAAGUAAAAGGAACUCCGCAAAUUUUACCCGGCCUGUUUACCAAAAACAUCACCUCUAGCAUUACCAGUAUCAGAGGCACUGCCUGCCCAGUGACACAUGUUCAACGGCCGCAGUAUCCUGACUGUGCAAAGGUAGCAUAAUCACUUGUUCCUUAAAUAGGAACUUGUAUGAAUGACCACACGAGGGUUCAUGUCUCCUACUUUAAUCAGGGAAAUUGACCUAUCCGCGAAGAGGCAGAUAUAAACAAAUAAGACGAGAAGACCCUAUGUAUGGAGCUUUAAUUUAUUAAUGCAAAUAAAAACAAGCCUACAGGCCCUAGCCUACAAUCCCUGCAUUAAAAAUUUUGGUUGGGGUGACCUCAGAGCAUAAUUCAACCUCCAAGCAACCUAAACUAAGACUGCACUAGUCUAAGCAAGUUAAUAUAUAUUGACCCAAUAAUUUGAUCAACGGAGUAAGCUACCCCAGGGAUAACAGCACAAUCCUAUUCUAGAGUCCGUAUUGACAAUGGGGUUUACAAUCUCGAUGUUGGAUCAGGACAUCCUAAUGGUGUCGCCGCUAUUAGGGGUUCAUUUGUUCAAUGAUUAAAGUCCUACAUGAUCUGAGUUCAGACCGGAGUAAUCCAGGUCGGUUUCUACCUAUUUAACAUUUCCCCUAGUAUGAAAGGACAAGGGAAAUAGGGCCCACUUCAUAAAGUGCCCUUGCUCCAUAGAUGAUGCUAUCUCAGUCUAACAAAUCAUCACACACCUUACCCAAGAACAGGGUUUGUUAAGAUAGCAGAGCCCGGCAAUUGCAUAAGACUUAAAACUUUAUAAU
rnacentral:rRNA from 1 species